GAUGAAGAACGCAGUGAAAUGCGAUAACUAAUGUGAAUUGCAGAAUUCCGUGAAUCAUUGAGUCUUUGAACGCACAUUGCGCCCGCCAGUAUUCUGGCGGGCAUGCCUGUUCGAGCGUCAUUUCAACCCUCAAGCCCCAGCGGCCUGGUGUUGGGGACCGGCGACCUCGCCCGAGCCCGCCCUCCGGGGCGCGUGCCCGGUGCGUCCGCCGCCCCCGAAAUGAAUUGGCGGCCUCGUCGCGGCCUCCUCUGCGUAGUAGCACAACCUCGCAAGCGGGAGCGCGACGCGGCCACUGCCGUAAAACGCCCAACUUUUUUAGAGUUGACCUCGGAUCAGGUAGGAAUACCCGCUGAACUUAAGCAUAUCAAUAAGCGGAGGA
rnacentral:misc_RNA from 1 species